CGUGAUAUUUCAAAAUUAAAUAUUGAUAUUGUGUUAAUAAUACACAUGUGGUGAUGUCAUGUAAAUAAUCCAGCACCUCUUAAAUCAUUUCAUAUAUACAGUUAUGGUUACAGACUCACUCCACCUCCUUACACUCGUAAUAUGAGACAAGAUGCAAAAUAAACAAAGUUGAAUCUGACUGAUAGCAUUAUUUAGUUGUUUUUUUUUAAAUUUUCUAUAGAUAUAGCAAUAAUAUUGUUAUUGUGAAUUAUUUUGGCUACGAUAAUCGUGAAAAUCUGAUAUCUUGACAGCCCUAAACAGCUUUAACAAUAGCUGCUCACAUUAAAUAUAUGUUGCGUUUGCUGUUUGAAACAGCUAUUUCAUAAAGGUGUAUUAAUAUUUAUGAUUAGUGGAGGUGCUUCAGGUGAGAUGGCCUGCCUCUGCUACAAAUUACAACAGGAAAGCCUGAAAUGAAUCAACAAUCAUUUUGAAUCUUUUAAAUCAUCUAUCAAGCAAAAAACAUCAAACAUUCUUCUUAAACGUGAGGAUCUGCUGCUUUUCUCUAUUUAAUAUUAUUGUUCUUUGGGUUUUGGAUUGUGUGUUGAUCAAUUUGAAGUGAAGGGAACUUUAUUCAUCCAUUUAUUAAAUAAUAAUAAAAAAAAAUAAUCAAGUGAUUACUCGCUAAUGAAAAUAAUUAAUAUUGCAGCCCCACAUUACUGUUUCCCAAGUUAGAUACAAAACAGACUUUUAAUAUUUACCGUUUGUAUAAUUUGACCAUCACUGAUAAAAUGCUUAUUAAACCAUUUUGUUUUUACUUCACCAAAGGUGAGUGGAUACAUUUCUAUUCUAUUCUACCCUUCACAUUUACACCCUCUGCUAACAAAUAAAUUAAAAGCACAAAUAUCUUCUCAAUGUCACACACGCUGAGCCCAAUGUAAUGUCUUUAUGCUCCUCUUGUCUCUGUUGAAACACGGUUUAAGAUGAUCUGAAAACCUUAAAGUAGAUUAGUCUAAAAAAGCCUUAACACCUUUGAUAAAUCAAUUUGUUUUGAUGUGUGUUUCUCAGUGUGUGUGUGUGUGUGUGUGUGUGUGUGUGUUGUUAGUGUGCCUGACAAUGCAUCACUGACCCUUUGAUUUGGGGAUAAGUCGCUGCUUGUGCGUCCAUCUUGAUUUGAUGGCCGGAGAGAGGGCUGAUUGACCCCGUGACCUUUCUGUGUGGGGCGAAGCUCCUCGAUGUCCGGAGCUCCUGUCAGCGGGUUAAUGAGCGACGGCUGCUCGGGGCACGCUGGGCCUUGGCUAAGUGACCGGGCCGGAUGACCACCCUCUGCUGUGACCCUCACGCUUCUCUACGGCCAUCAGUUAAACACCCCCAUCACCACCACCUCCACCACCGUGUUUCUCCUCCCUCGUCCUUCCUCUCCCCCCUCCCCAGAGUGAAGCUGCGACUCAGGACUUAAGCUCAGAUAUUCUUGGCCCGCGAUGCAACAGGCUUGUUUCUUGCAGCACGUGAAGUCUUUGGGCCGCAGCUGAAAGCAGCCCAUCCCAGUGUGGACGUUUGUUAAAGUGAACAGGUGCCCGUCUUUCUUCAGACAUCGCUGGUGCCAAGGCAGUAGGAUGGCUGCCUCUCUCUGAUGGGAAACUGUUGCUCAUGUGCUCUGGGUUGGCUGCCAAGUUUUGGCAUUAUUGAUCAGACGACCGUCCUGAGGUGAGCCGGCAGAGAUCCGAUGGAGGACUUUGAUUACCAACCAGCCCUGACUGUUGGGUUUCUCACAGCGUCUUCUUUGGCUUCGCUCCCAAAGCUCGACCGUACCCCUCCUUCACACACACACACGGGCAACACAAACACACUACACCGGGGUAAAGGAAAGAGAUUUGCUGUUGCACUCUCAGAAGCUUAGCUAACCGUCUAAGCCUGACUUUGGUGCUCAUACGGGUGCAAAGAUCAAAACAGGAGCUCUCAGACACUUAAUGGGUGGGUCCCUCUUUGGGAGACAGCAGCCAACCGUUUGCACUUGUGACCCCUUAAAGGUAACAGUUCGACAUUUUGGGAAAUACUCUUAAUUCACGACAGAUGGAUGAGAGGAUUGAUAGUCAGUAGGCUAUACAGUUGUAGACGCUUAGCAUAAAGACUGGAAGCAGGGGGCAACAGCUAGCUGUCCGAAGGUAACAAAAACUGCCUACCAGCACCUUUAAUGCCCAUUAAUAAAUCUUAAUAUCUCACUUAUUUACAAAAAACAAUGUGUAAAAAUCAUAAUUGUUUUAUGGGGGGGUUUUGUGUCAGACUAUUUAAGUUGCUAUUCCCAGCCAAGUAACAGACAGACACAUAACAUCCUGCAAAUUAUCACUUUUUUGUCGUUUUUGUACAGAUUGAACGAACAAGAUAUAACCUAUUAGAUUGUGAGUUGGGUGCUUUCACAAGACAACAUUUAGUCCUUUUUAAUCGAACUCUGGUGCGGUUUGUUGAGCCCGUUGUACACGACCCUCAAUAAAUUAUUUUCUUUUUGGUCCACUUUAAUUUGUGCUCUGUGAAAACGAACCAGACUAAAUAUAAAAUAAACCAAAAGUAUAAAUUUCACUCUGUUUCGGACUAGCCAACCUAGCACCUUAGAGGUGCUGGUAGGCAGAUCUUGUGACUUUUGGAUAGAGCCAGGCUAGCUGUUGCCCCUGCUUCCAGUCU